UGUCGUCAGCUCGUGUUGUGAAAUGUUGGGUUAAGUCCCGCAACGAGCGCAACCCUUAUCCUUUGUUGCCAGCGGUCCGGCCGGGAACUCAAAGGAGACUGCCAGUGAUAAACUGGAGGAAGGUGGGGAUGACGUCAAGUCAUCAUGGCCCUUACGACCAGGGCUACACACGUGCUACAAUGGCGCAUACAAAGAGAAGCGACCUCGCGAGAGCAAGCGGACCUCAUAAAGUGCGUCGUAGUCCGGAUUGGAGUCUGCAACUCGACUCCAUGAAGUCGGAAUCGCUAGUAAUCGUGGAUCAGAAUGCCACGGUGAAUACGUUCCCGGGCCUUGUACACACCGCCCGUCACACCAUGGGAGUGGGUUGCAAAAGAAGUAGGUAGCUUAACCUUCGGG
rnacentral:rRNA from 1 species